rnacentral:rRNA from 1 species
UACGGGGGGAGCAAGCGUUGUUCGGAUUUACUGGGCGUAAAGGGCGCGUAGGCGGCGUGACAAGUCACUUGUGAAAUCUCCGGGCUUAACUCGGAAAGGUCAACUGAUACUGCGGGGCUAGAGUGCGGAAGGGGCAACUGGAAUUCUCGGUGUAGCGGUGAAAUGCGUAGAUAUCGAGAGGAACACCUGCGGCGAAGGCGGGUUGCUGGGCUGACACUGACGCUGAGGCGCGAAAGCCAGGGGAGCGAACGGG